GGGCAUCAGUAUUCAAUUGUCAGAGGUGAAAUUCUUGGAUCUAUUGAAGACUAACUACUGCGAAAGCAUUUGCCAAGGAUGUUUUCAUUGAUAAGGAACGAAAGUUAGGGGAUCGAAGACGAUCAGAUACCGUCGUAGUCUUAACUAUAAACUAUGCCGACUAGGGAUCGGACGAUGUUAUUCUUUGACGCGUUCGGCACCUUUCGAGAAAUCAAAGUGCUUGGGCUCCAGGGGGAGUAUGGUCGCAAGGCUGAAACUUAAAGAAAUUGACGGAAGGGCACCACCAGGGGUGGAACCUGCGGCUUAAUUUGACUCAACACGGGGAAACUCACCAGGUCCAGACACAGUGAGGAUUGACAGAUUGAGAGCUCUUUCUUGAUUCUGUGGGUGGUGGUGC
rnacentral:rRNA from 1 species